UUAUUGAUUGUCGUCAUUCUUAAUUUGUUUCGGUAUGGGCAGUACGGGUCGGUACCCCUGGUUUUUUUAGUUUGAUUUGUUCAUUAAAUUAAAAAAAAAUUCUGAGGUUAUCUUAGUGGCGUGUGACUAGCCACGGAUUAGAAUGUAGUGUCGUAGUAGUGGAAUAUUCUGUGCCAGAAAGUGGAAUAUUCUGUGCCAGAAUAGUGUGGUGAACAGUCCGCUAUGGCGGUGAGGUUGGAUGGGUUGAAUCCUGUUGCUGGUUCCAGUGCCCUGUGAGCUGCUCCCUGUCCGUGGGAUCUAUUGCGAUUGGAUUUCGAAAACUUGAAUUCGCGUAACACUGGUCAACAGUCGAUCUCGGAUUGUUAUUAUUGUUCCUCUAACACUUUCACUGUUUCUUCUUCUAAUCCUUUUUAUUUGUUCUUUUAGGUUUCGACCAUCUUCGAGGAGGAGCCCUUAGAAAUAUUGGACUUGCACGUUUCGUGGCAUUCACUUUCGUUGAUUUGGGUCUGUUUUUUCGAUACGUCAAAGUCACUUAAGCACGCUCUUUUGCGCUGUCACCAAUGAAGCGGAAUACGUACCGAGUGGUUAGACACUAUUACUGCUGGAUGUGAUAUGUCCUUUGAUUAACUGCACUACAUCUGCUCGAUUUUAAUUACUUUUAAUCUAUCAGUUAAGUUGAAAAAAUAUUAAAUCACUUAAACACUAAACCGAAACUUAAACAACGGGCAUCACUUCUGCCUCGCGGAAUAAAACUUAAGAGUUAACACCUAAACGAACCGCGGACUAUCUAUAACGACGUAGGCACCUGCCUCACGAGGGGUAUCACUAUCACGACGUCGGACUUCCUUGAAGUCCCAGCUUAAGUAUUCGCCGCUACUCCGGUCACUCCGAAUUUUCCCGCGGCGUCGUCUUCUCACGAGAGCGGGCCGCUCUUCCGUCUCUUUCCUCGCGAACGUGCCCGUGCACGGCUGAUGCAAUCGUUGUUGACUUUUUCGUAAAUCCGCUCGGUUGCAUGUUUUGAUUAAACAUCCGCGAAUUGGAGUUUUUUGCUGUAAAUAUAAACUUAAAACAUUCGAACUUGCGUUCGAUUUAAUAACUGAGGUAUUGUUUUUGCCUCCAUAAUCAAAACAAUACCUUCUUUGAUUAUGAUCCACUUUUCAUAUUUUCAUAACAUGAGUGGUGGAUGGAAUUUCAAGUUUCAACACUUGCGAUGUUGAAACAAAUUGACAAGAGAAAUGAUUUCAUCAUCUUGUCCAUGCAUAUUAAUGACAAGUUUUUCCAAAGAUGUUUUUUCCAUUUAGGAUUUUUCUUAAUCCUUCUUUGGAAGAG